rnacentral:tRNA from 1 species
UCUUAGGUAGUAUAUUGGUUAGUAUUUGUGCCUGUCAUCAAAACUUAAACUCUAAGUUGCGCAAGUCCGGGGUUCAAUUCCCUGUCUGAGAG